UACGUAGGGUGCAAGCGUUAAUCGGAAUUACUGGGCGUAAAGCGUGCGCAGGCGGUUGUGCAAGACCGAUGUGAAAUCCCCGGGCUCAACCUGGGAAUGGCAUUUGGGACUGCAAGGCUGGAGUGCGGCAGAGGAGACUGGAAUCCUGGUGUAGCAGUGAAAUGCGUAGAUAUGUGGAGGAACACCGAUGGCGAAGGCAGCCCCCUGGGUCAAAACUGACGCUCAUGCACGAAAGCGUGGGGAGCAAACAGG
rnacentral:rRNA from 1 species